rnacentral:rRNA from 1 species
AUUGAACGCUGGCGGCAGGCCUAACACAUGCAAGUCGAGCGGGGUUUUCGGACCUAGCGGCGGACGGGUGAGUAAUGCGUAGGAAGCUGCCCGAUAGAGGGGGAUACCAGUUGGAAACGACUGUUAAUACCGCAUAAUGUCUACGGACCAAAGUGUGGGACCUUCGGGCCACAUGCUAUCGGAUGCGCCUACGUGGGAUUAGCUAGUUGGUGAGGUAAUGGCUCACCAAGGCGACGAUCUCUAGCUGGUUUGAGAGGAUGAUCAGCCACACUGGAACUGAGACACGGUCCAGACUCCUACGGGAGGCAGCAGUGGGGAAUAUUGGACAAUGGGCGCAAGCCUGAUCCAGCCAUGCCGCGUGUGUGAAGAAGGCCUUCGGGUUGUAAAGCACUUUCAGCGAGGAGGAAGGGGUAGUCGUUAAUAGCGGCUACUUUUGACGUUACUCGCAGAAGAAGCACCGGCUAACUCUGUGCCAGCCGCCGCCGUAAAAC